ACGGCCCCUCCCAGCAGCAGCUCCGUGCUGGGAAGUCAGUUCUGACCCUCAUUCAGUGGGGACCUGACCUUUGUUCUGCAGGCCUUGCUUCAGCUUCACUUUGCUUCCCAGCAUGGUGCUCCUUCUGCCAGGCUCCUUGGUCACUCUGCAGCUACUUCUUGAUCUCAUCUGUGCCGCAGAAGAACCAGCCACAGGAU
rnacentral:lncRNA from 1 species